GCAGCCGCCGCGGUAAUACGGAGGGAGCUAGCGUUGUUCGGAAUUACUGGGCGUAAAGCGCGCGUAGGCGGUUACUCAAGUCAGAGGUGAAAGCCCGGGGCUCAACCCCGGAACUGCCUUUGAAACUAGGUGGCUAGAAUCCUGGAGAGGUCAGUGGAAUUCCGAGUGUAGAGGUGAAAUUCGUAGAUAUUCGGAAGAACACCAGUGGCGAAGGCGACUGACUGGACAAGUAUUGACGCUGAGGCGCGAAAGCGUGGGGAGCAAACAGGAUUAGAGACCCCUGUAGUCCCUGUCUCUUAUAC
rnacentral:rRNA from 1 species